UACGAAGGGGGCUAGCGUUGUUCGGAAUCACUGGGCGUAAAGGGCGCGUAGGCGGCCAUAUAAGUCGGGGGUGAAAGCCUGUGGCUCAACCACAGAAUUGCCUCGAUACUGUAUGGCUCGAGACCGGAAGAGGUAAGUGGAACUGCGAGUGUAGAGGUGAAAUUCGUAGAUAUUCGCAAGAACACCAGUGGCGAAGGCGGCUUACUGGUCCGGUUUCUGACGCUGAGGCGCGAAAAGCGUGGGGAGCAAACAGG
rnacentral:rRNA from 1 species